AGGACGAACGCUGGCGGCGUGGAUUAGGCAUGCAAGUCGAGCGAUAUCUCACCUUCGGGUGAGUGAAAGCGGCGAACGGGUGAGUAACACGUGGACAACCUGCCCUCACAUUCCGGAUAAUAGACCGAAAGGUCUUGUAAUACGGGCGAGGAUUUCUUUUAGGCAUCUAAGAGAAAGGGAGCGCAAGCCGUGCGAGGAGGGUCCGCGGAUUAUCAGGUAGAGUGGUGGGGUAACGGCCUACAUGCCCGACGACGUAUUA
rnacentral:rRNA from 1 species